rnacentral:rRNA from 1 species
UCAAUAAGCGGAGGAAAAGAAACUAACAAGGAUUCCCCUAGUAACGGCGAGUGAAGUGGGAAAAGCUCAACUUUGUAAUCUGGCUGUUUUACAGUCCGAGUUGUAGUCUAGAGAAGCGUUAUCCGUGCCAGCCCUUAUACAUGUUUGUUGGAAUACAACGUCAAAGAGGGUGAGAAUCCCGUAUUUGAUAAGGCGCUUGUGUACAUUGUGAUACGUUUUCAAAGAGUCGAGUUGUUUGGGAAUGCAGCUCAAAUCGGGUGGUAAAUUCCAUCUAAAGCUAAAUAUUGGCGAGAGACCGAUAGCGAACAAGUACCGUGAGGGAAAGAUGAAAAGCACUUUGGAAAGAGAAUGAAAUAGUACAUGAAAUUGCUGAAAGGGAAACGAUUGAAGUUAGACUUGCGUAGCGGGUAUUCAGCCUUGACUUUGGUCUUGGUGUAUUUGCCUACUGUUGCAGGCCAGCAUCAGUUUACUUUGCGGUAUAAGGGUUUGAGAAACGUGGCUUCCUCGGGAGUGUUAUAGUCUCUUACUGGAUGCCGAAUCGUAGACUGAGGAACGCAGUGCGCCUUUUAGGCAAAGCUUUUUGGCUUUGAGCACUUAGGAUGCUAGUAGAAUAGCUUUAAACGACCCGUCUUGAA